rnacentral:rRNA from 1 species
AUUGAACGCUGGCGGCAGGCCUAACACAUGCCAGUCGAGCGGAUGAAGGGAGCUUGCUCCUGGAUUCAGCGGCGGACGGGUGAGUAAUGCCUAGGAAUCUGCCUGGUAGUGGGGGAUAACGUCCGGAAACGGGCGCUAAUACCGCAUACGUCCUGAGGGAGAAAGUGGGGGAUCUUCGGACCUCACGCUAUCAGAUGAGCCUAGGUCGGAUUAGCUAGUUGGUGGGGUAAAGGCCUACCAAGGCGACGAUCCGUAACUGGUCUGAGAGGAUGAUCAGUCACACUGGAACUGAGACACGGUCCAGACUCCUACGGGAGGCAGCCGUGGGGAAUAUUGGACAAUGGGCGAAAGCCUGAUCCAGCCAUGCCGCGUGUGUGAAGAAGGUCUUCGGAUUGUAAAGCACUUUAAGUUGGGAGGAAGGGCAGUAAGUUAAUACCUUGCUGUUUUGACGUUACCAACAGAAUAAGCACCGGCUAACUUCGUG